UACGUAGGGGGCAAGCGUUGUCCGGAUUUAUUGGGCGUAAAGAGCGUGUAGGCGGCCAAGCAGGUCCGCUGUGAAAACUCGAGGCUCAACCUCGAGACGUCGGUGGAAACCGUUUGGCUAGAGUCCGGAAGAGGAGAGUGGAAUUCCCGGUGUAGCGGUGAAAUGCGCAGAUAUCGGGAAGAACACCCGCGGCGAAGGCGGCUCUCUGGGACGGUACUGACGCUGAGACGCGAAAGCGUGGGGAGCGAACAGG
rnacentral:rRNA from 1 species